rnacentral:misc_RNA from 1 species
AAGAGUUGCAAAACUCCCUUAAACCAUCGCGAACGUUACCCCACACCGUUGCUUCGGCGGGCAGGCCUCCCCUCGGGGGGCGCCUCUCCCGGCCCCUCGCGGGGCGCCCGCCGGAGGGACACGACCAAACUCUUGCAGUCAUUGGCUUCUCUGAGUACGAUUUUUAAAUAAGUCA